AUUGAACGCUGGCGGCAGGCCUAACACAUGCAAGUCGAGCGAGCGGCGGACGGGUGAGUAAUGUAUGGGGACUGCCCGCUAGAGGGGGAUAACUACUGGAAACGGUAGCUAAUACCGCAUACUAUCUGAGAACACAUAUGGGUUUAGCUAGUAGGUGAGGUAAUGGCUCACCUAGGCGCCGAUCCCUAGCUGGUCUGAGAGGAUGAUGAGCCACACGGGAACUGAGACCCGGCCAAGACUCCUACGGAGGAAGCAGGGGGGAAUAUUGGAAAAUGGGCGAAAGCCUGAUGCAGACAGGCCGCGUGUAUGAAGAAGGCCUUAGGGUUGAAAAGUACGUUCAGUCGGGAGGCGUUACCGACAGAAGAAGCACCGGCUAACUCCGUGCCAGCAGCCGCGGUAAUUC
rnacentral:rRNA from 1 species